rnacentral:lncRNA from 1 species
CGCCUUCCUCCUCCCGGCUUUAUACAGAAAAAGGCAGUUCGUUGUGCUUUGGGGGGCUUUUAAUGUGGAAGUGGGACGCGGGGGUGGAGCGAGAGAUAAGGCUUAAUAGGGCAUAGGGGAAGGCGUUUGCCCCUGGACUUACCUGGAAGUACCUUGAAGCUACUGUCUAUUUUUUUUCCUUCCCCAUAAGCCUAAGGUGUGGGGAAGGCUCCCUCUCUGGAGGAGCAGGUCGGAAGACCUCGGUGCAAAAGCAGGGACCCCCUGGCUGACCCUGUUCUCCCUCUGCAAAAUAAAGGAACCCCACCGGUGCAGAACCGUGCCACUGCACCCAUAAGACAGCCCGAGGCUCCUGGCAGACCCUACUGGGAAUUACACAGCAAGAUGGCUUUCCCUACUCCAUCGUGGCUAGAGCCUCUGCAAGGGCUGAAGCCCUUUGAUCUUGGCUUCAUUUGGAUACAUUUCAAGGGUGAGCACUGACAAAGAGGACAAGCCAGACUGAAGUCAUAUGGCCUUACAGCUCUGCCUUCAAAGGCAUGUGGGCUCCCCUCCACCACAUUGCUGACCCCUCAUUACAGGAAGUGGGAGUGUAAACUCUACCUCUUCCUUAUGUCCUGUCGGAGGUGGAGCACAGAGCUCUGACUCCAUGCAUAACACACACUCUACCACUGAGAUACAUCCCAAGGCAAUUGACAUUGGAUUGUUGGUGUCUCAUUGUGUGAUGUUGACUUAGGACAUUAUAGGAUCUAUGCAAGCAUCUUUCUGUAUCGUUUUUUUUUUCCUUGCCCAGUAAUGUUCACUGUGUAGAAUACACAAUGAUAAUGCUAAUGACCCAAACACCAAGGGACCUGAGUCUCUGAGCCACCACUUGGGAGAUACCCAUUCAAUUUUUAUUGACCACCAUGAUGUACUACUUAAAGG